GUCAAGGGUUCCAGCGCCAGGAUAUAUAGGAGGGGGGACAAUGGGCAUCCUUGGCGUGAUCCAUUAGAAAUGGUCAGUGGGUCUGAGAUGAACACGCUUGUGGUGACCCUGGCGAGGUGUUGUUGUAGAGUGUAGUUACUGCUGCUAGAAAUUGCGGCUGGAAAUUAAAUUUAUUGAGCACUCCCAGGAGGUAGUGCAUUAGGUUCAGCACUUUCCUGGUCCUGUCCG